CUCCCAGCCACACACAGCAAGUGUGUGUCUGUCCCACGCAUUCCCCUCCUGCAAAUCAUUUCAUGUAGCGUAGCCAAGGAACUGCAGUAACCCAGUCUAACAGGAAGUGCUCCCAGACAAAGUAGUGGAUACAGAGAUUCUCCACCACAGUUCACUCGACCACGCUACAAGUAGGUAAGCUGGCACUGCAGACGGAGGAAGACAGCAAAAAGAGGGGACGGACAAAGACACACAGGGGACUGACGGUGGACAAAAAGAC